AACGACGCUGGCGGCAGGCCUUAAACACAUGCAAGUCGAACGCGUGUAGCAAUACACGAGUGGCGCGACGGGUGAGUAACGCGUGGAUAUCUGUCCUUUUGGUUCGGAAUAACUCCGGGAAACUGGAGCUAAUACCGGAUGGUUCCUACGGGAUAAAGAUUUAUCGCCAAAAGAUGAGUCCGCGUACGAUUAGCUAGUUGGUGAGGUAAUGGCUCACCAAGGGCGACGAUCGUUAGCUGGUCUGAGAGGACGAUCAGCCACACUGGGACUGAGACACGGCCCAGACUCCUACGGGAGGCAGCAGUGGGGAAUAUUGGACAAUGGGGGCAACCCUGAUCCAGCCAUGCCGCGUGAGUGAUGAAGGCCUUCGGGUUGUAAAGCUCUUUUGGCGGGGACGAUGAUGACGGUACCCGCAGAAUAAGCCCCGGCUAACUUCGUG
rnacentral:rRNA from 1 species